GCCCAAAUGGCGGAAUUGGUAGACGCGCUAGUUUCAGGGACUAGUAACCGCAAGGUUGUGCAGGUUCGAGUCCUGUUUUGGGCA
rnacentral:tRNA from 2 species